GAAGCUUCUAGCUUGCUAGAAGUGGAUUAGUGGCGCACGGGUGAGUAAGGUAUAGUUAAUCUGCCCUACACAAGAGGACAACAGUUGGAAACGACUGCUAAUACUCUAUACUCCUGCUUAACACAAGUUGAGUAGGGAAAGUUUUUCGGUGUAGGAUGAGACUAUAUAGUAUCAGCUAGUUGGUAAGGUAAUGGCUUACCAAGGCUAUGACGCUUAACUGGUCUGAGAGGAUGAUCAGUCACACUGGAACUGAGACACGGUCCAGACUCCUACGGGAGGCAGCAGUAGGGAAUAUUGCGCAAUGGGGGAAACCCUGACGCAGCAACGCCGCGUGGAGGAUGACACUUUUCGGAGCGUAAACUCCUUUUCUUAGGGAAGAAUUCUGACGGUACCUAAGGAAUAAGCACCGGCUAACUCCGUGCCAGCAGCCGCGGUAAUACGGAGGGUGCAAGCGUUACUCGGAAUCACUGGGCGUAAAGGGCGCGUAGGCGGAUUAUCAAGUCUCUUGUGAAAUCUAAUGGCUUAACCAUUAAACUGCUUGGGAAACUGAUAGUCUAGAGUGAGGGAGAGGCAGAUGGAAUUGGUGGUGUAGGGGUAAAAUCCGUAGAUAUCACCAAGAAUACCCAUUGCGAAGGCGAUCUGCUGGAACUCAACUGACGCUAAGGCGCGAAAGCGUGGGGAGCAAACAGGAUUAGAUACCCUGGUAGUCCACGCCCUAAACGAUGUACACUAGUUGUUGGGGUGCUAGUCAUCUCAGUAAUGCAGCUAACGCAUUAAGUGUACCGCCUGGGGAGUACGGUCGCAAGAUUAAAACUCAAAGGAAUAGACGGGGACCCGCACAAGCGGUGGAGCAUGUGGUUUAAUUCGAAGAUACGCGAAGAACCUUACCUGGGCUUGAUAUCCUAAGAACCUUUUAGAGAUAAGAGGGUGCUAGCUUGCUAGAACUUAGAGACAGGUGCUGCACGGCUGUCGUCAGCUCGUGUCGUGAGAUGUUGGGUUAAGUCCCGCAACGAGCGCAACCCACGUAUUUAGUUGCUAACGGUUCGGCCGAGCACUCUAAAUAGACUGCCUUCGUAAGGAGGAGGAAGGUGUGGACGACGUCAAGUCAUCAUGGCCCUUAUGCCCAGGGCGACACACGUGCUACAAUGGCAUAUACAAUGAGACGCAAUACCGCGAGGUGGAGCAAAUCUAUAAAAUAUGUCCCAGUUCGGAUUGUUCUCUGCAACUCGAGAGCAUGAAGCCGGAAUCGCUAGUAAUCGUAGAUCAGCCAUGCUACGGUGAAUACGUUCCCGGGUCUUGUACUCACCGCCCGUCACACCAUGGGAGUUGAUUUCACUCGAAGCCGGAAUACUAAA
rnacentral:rRNA from 1 species